GACCGUAGCACUCAUUAUGUGGUCGCGAAGAAGGAGCGCGAGUGCAGUAAAGCAAGUCUGUGACGUAUGAUAGAUGUCACUGUUUUUUGGCCUAAAAAAUUUUUAUGUAUUACUAUAAUUUAAAAAAAAAACACACACACAAAGCUUCCAUAAAUUUGUGUUGUAGUGUUAUAGUUUCUCUAUUUUUAAGAGCAGAUUUUUAAACCUUGCUUUUUGCUAUAGCUUAAGUUAGGAAUAUCCCAAGUUUAGCAUCAGUAGUAGUACUUAUGCUAGCAGUAGCCUAUCCAAUCGAGGCAGAUGGCCACCCUACUCUGAUGUGUCUUCUUGAUAAAGGAGGAGGUAGAAGACUUCUUAUUAUAAAACAAAGAUGUUAAGACCUGCGAUGGAGCUGUCGAAUGCUAGACCCCCGGUAUGCAGAGACCGAGGCAGCGUGUAAAAAUAAAAGCCUUUUAUUGCACACAAACAGGUGCAGAUUUAUAGUGUUGGACCACAUCGAGUCAUAUGACUGCUUCGAAAGUUACUACUGUAAGCCUUUCUCACUCAUGGAUCGGAGCUUCAGGACAAGAUAAAAGAAUUCCUGUGUACAUGCAAUUUGAAGUGUGGCGUGGGAACGAAUACAGCAUGCUGCUGCACUGCGAGUGCGAGGCCUACAUGAAAAUUAUGAUACUUGAUUUUCUUCCCUGGACUUUUUAAUGACUACUCUGUUGACAAAUGUCACAGCCUAAGUUUUGUAGGACGUUGUACUUGCCAAGGUCCGUGGGUCAAUCACAGCUUUUGUCUUGACUUAAUGUUCAAACAAUGGGAACCAUAGGCCCUAUUUCCCGGUAUGAAAUGUGCUAUAACUUCUUUAAUACUUGGGGUAGAGAAGUGAAUGAGGUAUCAAA